rnacentral:rRNA from 1 species
AUUGAACGCUGGCGGCAGGCCUAACACAUGCAAGUCGAACGAGUGGCGGACGGGUGAGUAAUGUCUGGGAAACUGCCUGAUGGAGGGGGAUAACUACUGGAAACGGUAGCUAAUACCGCAUACUAUCAGAUGUGCCCAGAUGGGAUUAGCUAGUUGGUGGGGUAACGGCUCACCAAGGCGACGAUCCCUAGCUGGUCUGAGAGGAUGACCAGCCACACUGGGACGGAGACACGGUCCAGACUCCUACGGGAGGCAGCAGUGGGGAAUAUUGCACAAUGGGCGCAAGCCUGAUGCAGCCAUGCCGCGUGUAUGAAGAAGGCCUUAGGUUUGUAAAGUACUUUCAGCGGGGAGGCGUUACCCGCAGAAGAAGCACCGGCUAACUCCGUGCCAGCCGCCGCGGUAAUAC